UGAUGAUGAAGGAAAAAGGUAAAUUUUACAACUUUCAAGAACCUUGUUUGAAGCUUGCAAGGUUUGACAUUGUCUAUGGACUUAGCCUUGUUAGUCAUUAUAUGGAGUCACCAACCAUUACCCAUAUGAAGCUGCAAAGAAGGUUUUUCAUUACAUCAAAGGCACUUGUUGGUCAUUAUAUGGAGUCACCAACCAUUACCCAUAUGAAGGCUGCAAAGAGGAUUCUUCAUUACAUCAAAGGCACCAUUGAUCAUUACAAAAAAAUGGACCUUUUAUUGCGUGUACAUGCACACCGUAAAAGUGUUUACUAUUUAUUGCGUGCAUCCUGCGUUACUAAAGUGUAAAGUAACCUGGAAGGCUAAUGUCUGAGCCAGACCUGGUCCACCUGGUUUAUUAAGAGACACAAGCUGAAAGAAGAAUCCAGCACGAUGGUUUAAAAUGUUUCCAUAAUAUACUCUUCCUCGGCUAAAGGUUUUGUCAGGUUGUAGUUCUUGUGAAGCAUGCAUAUCAAGGAGAAUGGUAGCGUAUCCAACUUCAGCUUUCUAUUCUCUUUAUUCACUGGCUCCUUUUCCCACAUUGAACCAGAAUUUUCCUCAAAAAUAUGAACUAUCUUAUCAUUGUAAUUGAGAGAAACUACUGGAAUUUGCACGAGAAAAGAUUGAGGCUAUCCAUAAGUAUGUACAUAAACACUUCGAUUGGUACUUUAACAGUAACACUAUCUAAAUAUCUGUACCUCAUACAUUUUGCAAAAGUUAUCAAGUUUUGUCUCACCUAAAAAUGUGGAUAACUAACCUUUCUCUCAUCUCUACAAGAGCAAAUCAGAAAUCUUGUUAUUUUUCCUCCCACAAAAAAUUAAUACAAAUUUUGAAAACCUUUAUAAGAUUAAAUAAAGAUUGGAUGAAAUAUAAACAAAUAACUACAGUUUUUCACUUUUUUUAAUCUUUAGGUGUAUAUCCCUUGAUACCUUUGACGUCUAAACAAAUAAGAUAAUUUUAUUUUGCAUUUUCCUUCUUCAUAUUAACUUUCUAAAUUUCAAAUAAUGCAUUGUAUGAAUAAUUUCUACCAGGCAUGAAAGCAUAGAAGAACAAAUUGCUACAAUGUAUUUCAAACUUUAGUGUAUAUAGACAACUAAAGAAUUUUUCCGAAGCAAAAAAGCAAAUAAACCAGUAGAGAACGAAACUCUUUCCUUUUUGUUAGUUAACUCGGACAGAUGAAUAUCAAAACUAUGAAUCCCCAAUUGCCAAUUCAAUUCUCAAAUCUAAUUUGUAAGUUUAGUUUGUAACUGACACUCCACUUUAGCAAUAAAUAAAUAAAUGCAAAACCGGUUCGUGAAGUUCACCAUCAAAUGAAAUCCAAAAUCUUAAGUUUUAAUCUUUUCACCUAAAUUGAAAAACCUACCACUUGUGGAAGCCCAAGAAGCAAAAACAAUAAAUGAAUCCCAAUAAGCCCAAAGAAAAAAAAAAAAAAAAAGGAAUCAUAGCAAAGUAUAUACGUCUAUAGUCCCCAAUCACCAUAGUAUUCCUUCAAAAAAUACCCAAAUGAAGAAAAAAGAAUAACACCAAGAAUGAAGGGAAAUUUUAACUAACCUAGAAUGACAAUAAACGAAGGAGGUGGUGGCGGUACAAGUGGAGAAGUUGAUGACAGAGUAGCAGAAUAGCUACUGAAUUUCCGUUAAGCCUCUCCUUAAUCGACCUACUAGCCUGGGCCUCUGCCUCCACUCGAUCAACAUACAUCGCGUAAUAAAUUAAUAAUCCCUAAAAUUUGUAGCACCAAACUCAAACCCUAACACUUACCCAAAUUGUUGUAUGUACGUAAUAUUUGUGUAGAAAAUGCAAGGAAUUGUAGAGAGAAAUUGAGGAAAUGGAGAGGACCAAAAAGUGGGUUUUGGAUUUUUAAAAUUAAUUUUGCAAAAAUGUAGAAUUUAUUUGUGAUUUGUGAAGGAGGAACGAAAAUGUAAUGUAGGUAUGGAAUGGAAGGCGAAGAAAGACGAGAGUGAGCUAAGGCGUCGGUGGUUGGCAGUGGAAGGCAGAAAGAGAUGACAGUGAGAGCUGAGGCGCUAGGCGAAGUUGUGGAUGAAACAUA
rnacentral:lncRNA from 1 species